rnacentral:lncRNA from 1 species
AUUUAAUUUAAUUAGAUUUAAUUUAAUUUAAUGCUAAUUGGGUUCAAUUAUCUAAAUCAGAUUUGGAUUUCAAGCCUGAUUGGAUUAAGCUUGACAGCCUUUUCGAAUUCGGCUCGUUUUAGAUUCGAUUUGAACUCAAUUAAGGCCAAACUUGAACCACAAGAACCAUGAUUCGGAGAGCCCAAGUCCCCUAGGACUCUCUUUCUAGAAAUCAUGCCAAGAAGGGAAGAGGGGCGUUGUUUUUCUCGUUCUUUUUUCUUAGCGCGCGUGAAAGGAGAGGGGGCACCAAUAGUUGCUGCCCCACCUUAUCUGGAAUUCUUUCUUAUCCAGAUUUUUUUUCUAUUUGAAUAUGAUUCAAAAUAGGAACAAAAUAUAUCUGAUUGGGGCGUGGA